AUUUAUAUAUUAUAUAUAUAUAUAUAUAUAUAUUUUUUAUUAGUAAAGUAAAUUAAAGGAAUUUGGCAAGAAUAAAUUUUGCCUGUUUAUCAAAAACAUGUCUCUUUGAGUUUUUUUAAUGAAGAGUUGGGCCUGCUCGGUGAUUAAUAUUUAACAGCUGCGGUAUUAAAACUGUACUAAGGUAGCAUAAUAAUUUGCCUUAUAAAUUGGGGCUAGAAUGAAUGGUUUGACGAGAAUUUAACUGUCUCUAUUUUAUUUAUU